rnacentral:rRNA from 1 species
AUUUUCCGGUUGAUCCUGCCGGACCCGACCGCUAUCGGGGUGGGGCUAAGCCAUGGGAGUCGUGCGCCCGCCGCCGCGGGCGUGCGGGACGGCUGAGUAACACGUGGGUAACCUACCCUCGGGAGGGGGAUAACACCGGGAAACUGGGGCUAAUCCCCCAUAGGGGCGAGGGGGCCUGGAACGGGUCCCUCGCCGAAAGGGUGCGCGGAGCUUCCCCGCGCGCCGCCCGAGGAUGGGGCUGCGGCCCAUCAGGUAUUUGGCGGGGUAACGGCCCGCCAAGCCGAUAACGGGUAGGGGCCCUGGGAGGGGGAGCCCCCAGAUGGGCACUGAGACAAGGGCCCAGGCCCUACGGGGCGCACCAGGCGCGAAACCUCCGCAAUGCGGGCAACCGUGACGGGGUCACCCCGAGUGCCGCCGAUAAGGCGGCUGUUCCCCGCUGUAGGAAGGCGGGGGAGUAAGCGGGGGGCAAGUCUGGUGUCAGCCGCCGCGGUAAUACCAGCCCCGCGAGCGGUCGGGAUGCUUACUGGGCCUAAAGCGCCCGUAGCCGGCUCGGCGAGUCUCCCCCUAAAGCCCCGGGCUCAACCCGGGGGAUGGGGGAGAUACUGCCGGGCUAGGGGGCGGGAGAGGCCGAGGGUACUCCCGGGGUAGGGGCGAAAUCCGAUAAUUCCGGGAGGACGACCAGUGGCUACGGCGCUCGGCUGGAACGCGCCGACGGUGAGGGGCGAAAGCCGGGGCAGCAAACCGGAUUACAUACCCGGGUAGUCCCGGGCUGUAACAAUGCGGGCUAGGUGUUGGCCU